ACUCAAAGGAAUUGACGGGGGCCCGCACAAGCAGCGGAGCAUGUGGUUUAAUUCGAUGCAACGCGAAGAACCUUACCUGGGCUUGACAUGUUGCCGACCGGUAUGGAAACAUACCUUCCCUUCGGGGCGGCAUCACAGGUGGUGCAUGGCUGUCGUCAGCUCGUGUCGUGAGAUGUUGGGUUAAGUCCCGCAACGAGCGCAACCCCCGUCCUAUGUUGCCAGCAUUCAGUUGGGGACUCAUAGGAGACUGCCGGUGACAAACCGGAGGAAGGUGGGGAUGACGUCAAGUCCUCAUGCCCCUUAUGUCCAGGGCUACACACGUGCUACAUUGGCGCGUACAGAGGGAUGCAAUACCGCGAGGUGGAGCAAAUCCCACAAAGCGUGUCGUGUUCGGAUUGGAGGCUGCAAUUCGCCUCCAUGAAGUUGGAGUUGCUAGUAAUCGCGGAUCAGCAUUGCCGCGGUGAAUACGUUCCCGGGCCUUGUACACACCGCCCGU
rnacentral:rRNA from 1 species